rnacentral:rRNA from 1 species
UAGGGAAUUUUCCGCAAUGGGCGAAAGCCUGACGGAGCAACGCCGCGUGAGUGAUGAAGGUCUUCGGAUCGUAAAACUCUGUUAUUAGGGAAGAACAAAUGUGUAAGUAACUAUGCACGUCUUGACGGUACCUAAUCAGAAAGCCACGGCUAACUACGUGCCAGCAGCCGCGGUAAUACGUAGGUGGCAAGCGUUAUCCGGAAUUAUUGGGCGUAAAGCGCGCGUAGGCGGUUAUUUAAGUCUGAUGUGAAAGCCCACGGCUCAACCGUGGAGGGUCAUUGGAAACUGGAAAACUUGAGUGCGGAAGAGGAAAGUGGGAUUCCAAGUGUAGCGGUGUAAUGCGCAGAGAUAUGGAGGAGAACCAGUGGCGAAGGCGACUUUCUGGUCUGUAACUGACGCUGAUGUGCGAAAGCGUGGGGAUCAAACAGG